rnacentral:lncRNA from 1 species
UUUUCCUUUUCCUUCUCCUCCAAUUUUGAGGAUUGGUCAAGUACUUCGCCCUCAAAGCUUGCUUUUCCAGAUUUUCCGCAAUCUUUCACCAUCUCCGCUCUCCAUGCUUUGUUCGUACGAGUAGGUGUUGUCAAGUCUUUGAUGAUGUGAAGUUUGGAGCUGAAUUUGAAAUUCAAAUUGCAAAGGUAUGGGCUUCAAUGUGUUUCUUAAGAUUUGAUUGUCUAUAAAUACUGGUGUUCAUUCUUGCCUCAGAGGUGGAAGAGCCAUAGCAACCAGCUUUGGACCCCUUCACUGUCACGCCACCUGCUAUGGAACAGGUUCUCAUUUAUUUUAUUCCCGACAUCUUGCUCUUUCCAUUGUAUAUAUCCAAUGUCAUCAAUUCUUGCUAAUGUAAUUGUUUGAAACACCAUAGAGUUCCUG